GAGCACGUAGGUGGGUUUGUAAGUCAGGUGUGAAAGCCUUCUGUUUAAAGGAAGAACGGCAUCUGAAACUGCAGAUCUUGAGUGUAGGAGGGGAGAGUGGAACUUCUGGUGGAGCGGUGAAAUGCGUAGAUAUCAGAAGGAACGUCGGCGGCGAAAGCGACUCUCUGGCCUAUUACUGACACUGAGGUGCGAAAGUUAGGGGAGCAAACGGGAUUAGAUACCCCGGUAGUCCUAACCGUAAACGAUGGGCACUAAGUAGAGGGAAUUACCAAUGUUCUCUCUGCCGUAGCUAACGCAUUAAGUGCCCCGCCUGGGGAGUACGGCCGCAAGGCUAAAACUCAAAAGAAUUGACGGGGGCUCGCACAAGCGGUGGAGCAUGUGGCUUAAUUCGAUGCAACGCGAAAAACCUUACCGGGGUUUGACAUGAUAGAAGUAGGAGCCCGAAAGGGUAACCAACGGUAUCCAGUCCGUAACUAUUACAGGUGUUGCAUGGCUGUCGUCAGCUCGUGUCGUGAGACGUUGGGUUAAGUCCCCUAACGAGCGAAACCCUUGUUUUUAGUUACCAUCGAGUAAUGUCGGGUACUCUAAAAAGACUGCCGUCGUCAAGACGGAGGAAGGUGGGGAUGACGUCAAGUCAUCAUGGCCCUUAUACCCCGGGCUGCACACGUGCUACAAUGGUCGGUACAAAAGGAUGCGAGACCGAGAGGUGAAGCGAAUCC
rnacentral:rRNA from 1 species